GACGAACCGUGCAAACGUUGUUCGGAAUCACUGGGCUUAAAGGGCGCGUAGGCGGCUCGCCAAGUCGGGGGUGAAAUCUUUCGGCUCAACCGGAAAAGUGCCUUCGAUACUGGCGGGCUGGAGGGAGGUAGGGGCAUGUGGAACUUCCGGUGGAGCGGUGAAAUGCGUUGAUAUCGGAAGGAACGCCGGUGGCGAAAGCGGCUUCCUGGACCGACACUGACGCUGAGGCGCGAAAGCUAGGGGAGCAAACGGG
rnacentral:rRNA from 1 species